rnacentral:lncRNA from 1 species
ACUCUCUUAAUGAUUUUCAAAACAUGGAUGAUUGGUAACCACAACCAACAAUUAUGAUUUGCAGGAUAAUGGAUGGAUUUGUUAUCCUAACAAUCUACUUGAUUAAAGCCUAACAAUCUAUAGUGUUGAGGCCCAACGGCCUAUCAGAUUUAGAUGCAAUGACCUAUAACUCCAUAUUUAUUUAAAGAGAUAAACAAAAGAUCUUAAGAUAAGCAAGC